GAUGAACGCUGACAGAAUGCUUAACACAUGCAAGUCGAUGGGGAAGUGGUGCUUGCACCAUGGCAACCAUGGCGGACGGGUGAGUAACGCGUAAGGGACUUACCUGCAGGACUGGGAUAACAGGGGGAAACUCCUGACAAGACCGGAUAAUGUCAUGGAGCUGCAUGGCUUUAUGAUGAAAGGAGACGCCUGCGGAGAGCCUUGCGUCCUAUUAGCUAGUUGGUGAGGUAAUGGCUCACCAAGGCGAAGAUAGGGAGCCGGCCUGAGAGGGUGGACGGCCACAAGGGGACUGAGAUACGGCCCUUACUCCUACGGGAGGCAGCAGUGGGGAAUAUUGGACAAUGGGGGCAACCCUGAUCCAGCAAUUCUGUGUGCACGAAGAAGGUUUUCGGAUUGUAAAGUGCUUUCAGCAGGGAAGAAGUAAGUGACGGUACCUGCAGAAGAAGCGACGGCUAAAUACGUG
rnacentral:rRNA from 1 species